GGCUCAGGACGAACGCUGGCGGCGUGCUUAACACAUGCAAGUCGAACGGAAAGGCCCUGCUUUUGUGGGGUGCUCGAGUGGCGAACGGGUGAGUAACACGUGAGUAACCUGCCCUUGACUUUGGGAUAACUUCAGGAAACUGGGGCUAAUACCGGAUAGGAGCUCCUGCUGCAUGGUGGGGGUUGGAAAGUUUCGGCGGUUGGGGAUGGACUCGCGGCUUAUCAGCUUGUUGGUGGGGUAGUGGCUUACCAAGGCUUUGACGGGUAGCCGGCCUGAGAGGGUGACCGGCCACAUUGGGACUGAGAUACGGCCCAGACUCCUACGGGAGGCAGCAGUGGGGAAUAUUGCACAAUGGGCGGAAGCCUGAUGCAGCAACGCCGCGUGCGGGAUGACGGCCUUCGGGUUGUAAACCGCUUUCGCCUGUGACGAAGCGUGAGUGACGGUAAUGGGUAAAGAAGCACCGGCUAACUACGUGCCAGCAGCCGCGGUGAUACGUAGGGUGCGAGCGUUGUCCGGAUUUAUUGGGCGUAAAGGGCUCGUAGGUGGUUGAUCGCGUCGGAAGUGUAAUCUUGGGGCUUAACCCUGAGCGUGCUUUCGAUACGGGUUGACUUGAGGAAGGUAGGGGAGAAUGGAAUUCCUGGUGGAGCGGUGGAAUGCGCAGAUAUCAGGAGGAACACCAGUGGCGAAGGCGGUUCUCUGGGCCUUUCCUGACGCUGAGGAGCGAAAGCGUGGGGAGCGAACAGGCUUAGAUACCCUGGUAGUCCACGCUGUAAACGGUGGGUACUAGGUGUGGGGUCCAUUCCACGGGUUCCGUGCCGUAGCUAACGCUUUAAGUACCCCGCCUGGGGAGUACGGCCGCAAGGCUAAAACUCAAAGGAAUUGACGGGGCCCCGCACAAGCGGCGGAGCAUGCGGAUUAAUUCGAUGCAACGCGUAGAACCUUACCUGGGUUUGACAUGGAUCGGGAGUGCUCAGAGAUGGGUGUGCCUCUUUUGGGGUCGGUUCACAGGUGGUGCAUGGCUGUCGUCAGCUCGUGUCGUGAGAUGUUGGGUUAAGUCCCGCAACGAGCGCAACCCUUGUUCACUGUUGCCAGCACGUUAUGGUGGGGACUCAGUGGAGACCGCCGGGGUCAACUCGGAGGAAGGUGGGGAUGACGUCAAGUCAUCAUGCCCCUUAUGUCCAGGGCUUCACGCAUGCUACAAUGGCUGGUACAGAGAGUGGCGAGCCUGUGAGGGUGAGCGAAUCUCGGAAAGCCGGUCUCAGUUCGGAUUGGGGUCUGCAACUCGACCUCAUGAAGUCGGAGUCGCUAGUAAUCGCAGAUCAGCAACGCUGCGGUGAAUACGUUCCCGGGGCUUGUACACACCGCCCGUCAAGUCAUGAAAGUUGGUAACACCCGAAGCCGGUGGCCUAACCGUUGUGGGGGAGCCGUCGAAGGUGGGACU
rnacentral:rRNA from 1 species